rnacentral:tRNA from 2 species
GCCGAAGUGGUGGAAUGGUAGACACGCAGCGUUCAGAGCGCUGUCCCAGCAAUGGGGUGGAGGUUCAACUCCUCUCUUCGGCA